CCGGCGAGUGGCGAACGGGUGAGUAACACAUCGGAACGUACCCAGUAGCGGGGGAUAGCCCGGCGAAAGCCGGAUUAAUACCGCAUACGCCCUAAGGGGGAAAGGGGGGGAUCGCAAGACCUCUCACUAUUGGAGCGGCCGAUGGCUGAUUAGCUAGUUGGUGGGGUAAAGGCCUACCAAGGCAACGAUCAGUAGCUGGUCUGAGAGGACGACCAGCCACACUGGGACUGAGACACGGCCCAGACUCC
rnacentral:rRNA from 1 species